rnacentral:rRNA from 1 species
UACAGAGGGUGCAAGCGUUGCUCGGAAUCAUUGGGCGUAAAGGGUUGGUAGGUGGUCUCAUUUGUCGGAGGUGAAAGCCUUGGGCUUAACCCAAGAAGUGCCUCCGAAACGGUGAGACUAGAGUUCUGGAGAGGCUAGGGGAAUUCCCGGUGUAGCGGUGAAAUGCGUAGAGAUCGGGAGGAACACCAGAGGCGAAGGCGCCUAGCUGGACAGAUACUGACACUCGAAACAAACGAA